CGCACAUUGCGCCCCGUGGUAUUCCGCGGGGCAUGCCUGUUCGAACGUCAUUAUAGCCACUCAAGCCCAGCUUGGUGUUGGGGCCUGCCGGUCACGGCAGCCCCUAAAUGCAUUGGCGGUGCUGAUGAGCUCUACGCGUAGUAAUACCUCUCGCGACAGGGUCUCUUCAGUGUCUUGCUGAACCCCAUCUUUCUAUAGGUUGACUUCGGAUCAGGUAGGGAUACCCGCUGAACUUAA
rnacentral:misc_RNA from 1 species